CGACAGAAACCAUGACUGUUAAAGUGUGUGGAUGAUCUCCAAGUCAGCGGUGCGCUUCCCUCCCACCACGCCAGAGUGCACGGCCAACCGUCGGGGUAAUGUCCCGUACUUUUUCCGCCAAUCUUCAUUAGCGUUCCUUGGCUGCCAGAUAAGUCAUAUACUGGAUAACCAAACAAGGACCACAUUAAUCAUGUUAAUGGAUGAAGUAUUAUUCCAGAAAAACAAAAGAAAGACUUGGAUUUGACGACAAUUAUGUCCGCCACGUUCAUCGGAGGUCUCCGGAACAGUGGGGGUGACUGACCUGAUCCCAUCCAUCCAACUAUAGCGUCUCCUCCCGUGCAUGGAUGCCCCUUUCUCCACAUCAUCCCGUUGCCAUGGGAACGGGGACGUGGGCUCUCGCUAUUUCAUCGUUCAAAGCCCGUUCAUAGAGCGGUAUGCUAUUCCGGAGGACAAGGAUGUUUGCUUUGAGGGAAGUGGCUGGCCUAAAAGAGGUGAAAAUGAUUGUAUACAACGAUGGUGGGUAAAAUCAUCAUCAAUGAUGACUCCAGCAAACACAAAUUUAGAUAAAACAAUUAUUCAUUGUGGGUUGUUUAAUUUAUUCUUCAUCAAGUAAAAUAGGUCUACAGUGCAUUGUUUAGCGACUGUGGAUACAUAAUUUUCUCCAUCAUAUCCUUUUCGUUCAGAAUACAGCACUCUUCAUCAAGAAAAAGGAAAGCAUAAUUUCAAUAUUUCUUUUUUUAUAAUUAAAAUAUCUUUUUGGUUUCAUUUUCUAGUUGAAAAAAUAAAAUAUUGCGAACGGUAUUUUAUAAUGCGAGUAUUUUUGUUUAAGAUGGUAGAUUAUUGAUUUUCGUGAUUUAUGGCAAAGGGAUUGCUGGUAAAGGUACAGUAUGUGACAAAUACUGAGUGUUUAAAAAAGGUUGAGUAAUAUUUUAGAACUAGAAUUGGUCAAAAAAGGACAUGCAUAUUAGUUUGCCAAAAUAUUAUGUAAAAUGCAUAAGUCAUGGAUAGCAUUGUCCACCAUCUUGUGUAAAAUUCACGUAGCAUAUGAAAUUAUUCUUCCCUUCAAACAAGUCCUUUUCCUUGUGCUCCAAUAUUGGCACGAAUGUCUUAACGUAAUUGGCGAUUUCGAAUUUUGUAGUAUGACCUUUAAUACACAGGAAUGGCGUUUGUUGCAAAUUUCAAACUCCUCAAGUGAUUGCCAAAUUUUGUUUGAAUCAAUCUUGAUCAAUAUGCUUUAAAGCUCAUGCAA